rnacentral:rRNA from 1 species
CCCUUAGAUGUCCGGGGCCGCACGCGCGCUACACUGAAGGAAUCAGCGUAGCUUUCUCCCUGACCCGAAAGGGUUGGGAAACCCGUUGAAUCUCCUUCGUGAUAGGGAUUGGGGCUUGAAAUUGUUCCCCAUGAACGAGGAAUUCCCAGUAAGCGCGAGUCAUAAGCUCGCGUUGAUUACGUCCCUGCCCUUUGUACACACCGCCCGUCGCUACUACCGAUUGAACGGUUUAGUGAGGGCCUCGGAUUGGUCUCGGCCCGCUCUUUACCGGGCGGCGCCGUUGGUCGAGAAGACGCUCGAACUUGAUCGUUUAGAGGAAGUAAAAGUCGUAACA